rnacentral:lncRNA from 1 species
GAGCGAGGAGGGAGGGAGGGAGGGAGGUAGAGAGACGGACAGAUAGUAGAGAGAGACAGCACAUGGCGUUGUAACCAUAGCAGCAGUCUGCUCUACUUGACAGUAGAGUAAACAUCCUCCUUUCCCUAGCAACACCGAUUCACUACGGAAUUAAAGGCCAGUGCCUUACCAUCUUACACACACAUGACACACACACACACGCACACACAAAUAAAUGGCUUUGGAAUGACCCGUGUGAUACAUCUACCAGAGGAGAUGAUGAGGAGGGUGCUGAGGUAGAGGAGGGAGCUGAGGUAGAGGACGGAGCUGAGGGAGCUGAGGUAGAGGAGGGAGCUGAGGUAGAGGGGGGAGCUGAGGUAGAGGAGGGAGCUGAGGUAGAGGAGGGAGCUGAGGUAGAGGAGGGAGCUGAGGGAGCUGAGGUAGAGGGGGGAGCUGAGGUAGAGGAGGAGCUGAGGUAGAGGGUGGAGCUGAGGCAGAGGAGGGAGCUGAGGCAGAGGGGGGAGCUGAGGCAGAGGGGGGGAGCUGAGGCAGAGGGGGGAGCUGAGGCAGAGGGGGGAGCUGAGGUAGAGGAGGGAGCUGAGGUAGAGGGGGGAGCUGAGGUAGAGGAGGGAGCUGAGGCAGAGGGGGGAGCUGAGGCAGAGGAGGGAGCUGAGGUAGAGGGGGGAGCUGAGGUAGAGGAGGGAGCUGAGGUAGAGGAGGGAGCUGAGGUGGAGGAGGGAGCUGAGGCAGAGGGGGGAGCUGAGGCAGAGGAGGGAGCUGAGGUAGAG